GAGUGUAAAUAGAAGUGCUCUUGAAGAAGAGAAUUCAUGCUUGCCAUCAACAACAAGCCAGGCAAGCAAACGAGUCGAGUUGCCUGCCUUUGUGGCUGCAAACGUCAUAGCUAAGGCCAAGUUCCCCUUGGCCCUGCCCACGCGUUUGUCUUGUCUUGUCUUAUCUUGUCUAGUCUGGUCUCUCUCCCCCACACCCCGGAUGACAAGAAAAAAAACCCGAACUCCAGUUUCUUCCCUGAGCUUAGCUUCUCUCUGUUUCUUUCUUUUUUGAUUUUUCCAUUUUCUCCUUAUUUUCAACCGAUAAUUUAGUUCUUUUUCAAAAGUUGUGCAGCUUGACUGACCAAAUCAUACCAAACUAAAGCUCCAUGGAAGAGAAACUGAUUCUGAUCCAAAGAGAGCCGUUUUUCAGUUUCCUUUCUUCUUGGGAUCUAAGAAAUUUCCAUGACUUGUUGAAUUGUUAGCUCUUAUAAAAGAAAAGAAAGAAGAAAAGAGAAGUAUUUUUUUUUCUUUUUUAUUUUCUUUUGUGAAGUACUAGUUUCUUUCUGAUGGGCAACUGCUUGUCUUCUUCUACUAGAGUUAAUUACAGCCAAAGCCCUCGUGCAACUUCUGCAUCAGGAGGCUCAAGAAUUUCCAGCAAGACCAGUCGUUCUUCAGCUCCUUCAAGCUUGACCAUUCCAUCUUUCAGUGAAACAAGUAGUACUGGAUGUCUUCCAACACCAAGGACCGAAGGAGAAAUAUUGUCAUCCCCCAAUUUGAAACCUUUCUCAUUCAAUGAGUUGAAGAAUGCCACCAGAAACUUUCGUCCUGACAGUCUCCUUGGUGAAGGUGGUUUUGGUUAUGUUUUUAAAGGAUGGGUUGAUGAACACACAUUAGCUGCUGCAAAGCCUGGAUCAGGAAUGGUUGUUGCUGUCAAGAAGCUUAAACCUGAAGGUUUUCAAGGUCACAAAGAGUGGUUGACGGAAGUUGAUUAUCUUGGCCAACUUCAUCAUCCAAAUCUGGUUAAGUUGAUUGGAUAUUGCUCAGAGGGUGAGAACCGACUUUUGGUCUAUGAGUUCAUGCCCAAGGGAAGCUUAGAGAAUCAUCUGUUUAGAAGAGGGCCACAGCCACUCUCUUGGGCAGUGAGGCUUAAGGUUGCCAUAGGUGCUGCUAGAGGGCUCUCUUUCCUUCAUGAUUUAAAAUCCCAAGUCAUAUACCGUGAUUUCAAAGCUUCUAAUAUUCUACUAGAUGCGGAAUUCAAUGCAAAACUUUCUGACUUUGGAUUGGCCAAGGCAGGGCCUACUGGUGAUAAGACUCAUGUGUCAACUCAGGUCAUGGGUACUCAUGGCUAUGCAGCACCUGAAUAUGUUGCUACAGGUCGAUUGACAGCUAAGAGUGAUGUAUACAGCUUUGGAGUUGUGCUGCUUGAACUACUGUCGGGACGAAGUGCUGUCGAUAAAACAAAAAUUGGUGUGGAGCAGAAUCUAGUAGACUGGGCAAAACCCUAUUUGCGUGACAAAAGAAAAUUAUUUCGAAUUAUGGACACUAAGUUGGGGGGUCAGUACCCCCAGAAAGGUGCCUAUACAGCUGCUACCCUUGCUUUACGGUGCCUAAGUAGUGAAGCUAAACUCAGGCCUAGAAUGUCUGAAGUUUUGGCAGCAUUGGAGCAGCUCGAGGCCCCUAAAAAUGCAUCCAAACACCCUCAAUCAGAACAGCACUCAGUUCCACUUCAUGUUCGGAAAUCUCCGAUGAGACAGCAUCGUUCUCCUUCGCAUCUAACACCCAGUGCAUCUCCGUUACGAUCUCACAGGCAAUCCCCACGAGUACAUUGAUUCCAUCCGUAAAUCUCCCAUGUCCAGGAUCCAUUAAAAGCUUUUGGGGCAAGAUUUUAGUGUAUGCGUAAAUCAGAAGCAUAGAAAUUAGUAUCAUGAUAAGAGACUAACAGCAUCAAGAAGGACAUUGGAGGCUUUAAGGUCACGAUGAAUAACUGGCCUCGCACGAGCAUGAAGUUGGAGUCACCUAAUCCCAAUGUGGUCUUAGUUCUGUGUUGGGUUUGAUGGCAUAUCAAGCUUUAAGGAAGUAAGUUUGUAAUGUUUCAAUCUUUUGUUGGGAUAUUUUGAGAAUCUGUUAUUAUAUAUAUGUAGAGAUUUGAACUCAUACUUGUAAAGCACUUUUUGUUAAACAAAAUCGUGAGACUUUUGAGUCAAAGCGGAUAAUAUCUCACAGGUUGCUGUGGGUUUCUACAUCAGUUGACAAUGUUGUUGGUGGAUAGGGGGGCACAGGGAAAGGGGAUGACAUGAGAGAUCCCACAAUCAUGUUCCACGAACAUGAGUGGAAGAGACGGUUUCAUCAACGGCAAUGAAUUACAUAAAAAGAUGAAGUAGUCAGAGUUACCCCAAACACUACAUUAGGGCAAAAUUUUCCUCGGUUAAGUGUCUUAAAAUAGCCGUAGUGAAGUGGUCAGGGGAACUCCAGGGAACAGCUGACAUUCCCUUUCUCAUCUUACAGUUUCUUGGUAUAUUAAUGGCACAGAAGGUUCACUGCAUAUAUAGGCAAGGUUCACCAAGCUUAGAUAUUGACACAGCUCGAAAUGGUGACCUGUGGUUGGGAAAAUGACUGGGAGUAAGUGAAAUUCACAGCUUUCAUGUUGCUGGAACUGAACCUGGUCAAUAUUUGAGGGAAAAUAAAGGGUAUAGAACAAUAGUAGCUAGUGGACAGAAAGCUUUCUGGAUUUUUCCAACUCUUUCAUCUAUUAGGUCUAUCCUUUUCAACUUUUUCUUUUCACUUUUCAGAAGGAAAAAACCUUUUCAAGUAUAUGAGACCAUACCUCACGCUUGACAAGAUUAACCUGGAUUAUUUCCUUGAAGAUUAAGUCAUUAAGAAGUAGCUAUUCAACAGAGAGGAAAUGAGAAAUUUAUCAGGUUUGUUUAUUUGUUAGUGACAUCUCUAGUAGCAUCUGCACUACAUAAAAAUCCUGUGCUGGUUGGGUUUAUACACCGGAUUCUGGUUAAGAGUAUGCUGAAAAGGAAGGUCUGGAAAGGAUAUUUGAGUAAAAAGCACGAAGAGUAUACAGCAACAGCCAUCUGACACUCUGUGUUCUUUACCUCCCAUUUUUCCCACAGCUGUGUCUAGGUUCACUUGCCAUACACUAAUCUCUUUGUGAAUGAAAAGUGUGGUUAUUUGCCAGUACGUUACCAACCAACCAAACCAAGUUGAAGUAAUCUCUCAUCCAAUGUUCCCUAGAGUUAGGCUUAAGCAAUUUAUUAUCAAUGUUUGGGAGAAAUCCUAAUGUCAUUUGUUGU